GACGAACGCUGGCGGCGUGCUUAACACAUGCAAGUCGAACGCUGCAGACCUGGCUUUUGUUGGGUUGGAUGAGUGGCGAACGGGUGAGUAACACGUGAGUAACCUGCCCUCUUCUUUGGGAUAACGCCCGGAAACGGGUGCUAAUACUGGAUAUUCACUGGCCUUCGCAUGGGGGUUGGUGGAAAGGUUUGUUCUGGUGGGGGAUGGGCUCGCGGCCUAUCAGCUUGUUGGUGGGGUGAUGGCCUACCAAGGCUUUGACGGGUAGCCGGCCUGAGAGGGUGACCGGUCACAUUGGGACUGAGAUACGGCCCAGACUCCUACGGGAGGCAGCAGUGGGGAAUAUUGCACAAUGGGCGGAAGCCUGAUGCAGCGACGCCGCGUGAGGGAUGGAGGCCUUCGGGUUGUAAACCUCUUUCGCUCAUGGUCAAGCCGCAACUGUGGGUUGUGGUGAGGGUAGUGGGUAAAGAAGCGCCGGCUAACUACGUGCCAGCAGCCGCGGUAAUACGUAGGGCGCGAGCGUUGUCCGGAAUUAUUGGGCGUAAAGGGCUUGUAGGCGGUUGGUCGCGUCUGCCGUGAAAUCCUCUGGCUUAACUGGGGGCGUGCGGUGGGUACGGGCUGACUUGAGUGCGGUAGGGGAGACUGGAACUCCUGGUGUAGCGGUGGAAUGCGCAGAUAUCAGGAAGAACACCGGUGGCGAAGGCGGGUCUCUGGGCCGUUACUGACGCUGAGGAGCGAAAGCGUGGGGAGCGAACAGG
rnacentral:rRNA from 1 species